UACAGAGGGGGCAAGCGUUAUUCGGAAUUAUUGGGCGUAAAGGGCGCGUAGGCGGCCUGGCAAGUGGAAGGUGAAAUCCCUCGGCUUAACCGAGGAACUGCCCUCCAAACUGCUUGGCUUGAGUCCGGGAGAGGUGAGUGGAAUUCCCAGUGUAGCGGUGAAAUGCGUAGAUAUUGGGAGGAACACCAGUGGCGAAGGCGACUUCCUGGCCUGUUCUUGACGCUGAGGCGCGAAAGCUAGGGGAGCAAACGGG
rnacentral:rRNA from 1 species